CUUGACCGAACCGAGCAGCAGGGGUCGAUCGGCAACCCGGUUCUGCCCGUACGUGGCCAGCAGCGCCUGCGCCUC
rnacentral:antisense_RNA from 1 species